rnacentral:rRNA from 1 species
UACAGAGGUCUCAAGCGUUGUUCGGAAUCACUGGGCGUAAAGGGCGCGUAGGCGGCGUUUUAAGUCGGGGGUGAAAGCCUGUGGCUCAACCACAGAAUUGCCUUCGAUACUGGGACGCUUGAGUGUGAUAGAGGUUGGUGGAACUGCGAGUGUAGAGGUGAAAUUCGUAGAUAUUCGCAAGAACACCGGUGGCGAAGGCGGCCAACUGGAUCAUCACUGACGCUGAGGCGCGAAAGCGUGGGGAGCAAACAGG